GAUGAAGAACGUAGCGAAAUGCGAUAAGUAAUGUGAAUUGCAGAAUUCAGUGAAUCAUCGAAUCUUUGAACGCAUCUUGCGCUCCUUGGUAUUCUGAGGAGCAUGCCUGUUUGAGUGUCAUUAAAUUCUCAACUACACUGACUUUGAAUUGGUGUGGCUUGGAUUUGGGGGGAAAAUUGUUGUGGGCUUUUUGUAUAGUCUGCUCCCCUGAAAUUGAUUAGCGGUACCUUUGUGGAACUGUCUACAGGUGUGAUAAUUAUCCACAUCUUAGACAUCUGCUGGAAUGCUGCUUUCUAAACCUUACUUGUAUUGACAAUCUUGACCUCAAAUCAGGUAGGACUACCCGCUGAACUUAAGCAUAUCAAUAAGCGGAGGA
rnacentral:misc_RNA from 1 species